AUGCCAUUGUUUCUAGGUGUCCAAUCAGAGGUCCAGCUGAUAGAGUCCGGAGGGGAUAUCAAAAGGCCUGGAGAGUCCCUCCGUCUCUCAUGUCGAGCCUCCGGGUUCACCUUCAGUAGCUUUGGAAUGCAUUGGAUAAGACAGGCUCCGGGGAAGGGCUUAGAAUGGAUUGCAGUAAUAUGGUAUGAUGGUAGCCAACAAUAUUACGCUGAGUCGGUGAAAGGGCGCUUCACCAUCUCCCGGGACAACCCUUCAAGCAUGCUGUAUCUGCAGAUGAACAACCUGAAAGCCGAUGACACCGCUCUGUAUUACUGUGCAAGAGACACAGUGAGAGGAAGUGAAUCUGAAGCCAGGCAAAAACCUCAUUUGUUAGCUCUCUUGGCUGAUUCAGCUGCAGCUACAAUAGACUAA